UACGGAGGGGGCUAGCGUUGUUCGGAAUUACUGGGCGUAAAGCGCGCGUAGGCGGACCUGCAAGUCGGGGGUGAAAGCCCGAGGCUCAACCUCGGAACUGCCUUCGAUACUGCGGGUCUCGAGUCCGGGAGAGGUGAGUGGAAUUCCUAGUGUAGAGGUGAAAUUCGUAGAUAUUAGGAAGAAACACCAGUGGCGAAGGCGGCCCUCUGGGCCGGGCCUGACGCUGAGACGCGAGGGCGUGGGGGAGCGAAACGGG
rnacentral:rRNA from 1 species